rnacentral:rRNA from 1 species
GAUGAACGCUGGCGGCGUGCCUAAUACAUGCAAGUCGAGCGAACAGACGAGGAGCUUGCUCCUCUGACGUUAGCGGCGGACGGGUGAGUAACACGUGGAUAACCUACCUAUAAGACUGGGAUAACUUAGGGAAACCGGAGCUAAUACAGGAUAAUAUAUUGAACCGCAUGGUUCAAUAGUGAAAGACGGUUUUGCUGUCACUUAUAGAUGGAUCCGCGCCGCAUUAGCUAGUUGGUAAGGUAACGGCUUACCAAGGCAACGAUGCGUAGCCGACCUGAGAGGGUGAUCGGCCACACUGGAACUGAGACACGGUCCAGACUCCUACGGGAGGCAGCAGUAGGGAAUCUUCCGCAAUGGGCGAAAGCCUGACGGAGCAACGCCGCGUGAGUGAUGAAGGUCUUCGGAUCGUAAAACUCUGUUAUUAGGGAAGAACAAAUGUGUAAGUAACUAUGCACGUCUUGACGGUACCUAAUCAGAAAGCCACGGCUAACCACGUG